AUAAUCUCAAAAAUUAAAAAAAAUCUCUUUUCUAUCUGUAUAACUUUCUGGGAUCCAGGAACUGACAUCCUAGCAGGCUCCUGGGCGAUGCAGAUGCUGGCAUUCUGGGCACUGCCCUUUGGAAAGCUAUGAUGACCACUGAAGCAGAACAGACCAAAGCAAAGAGGUGGGAAAGUCGCGAGAAGAUACAGGACUGGCUGGGAUACAUCAGGAAGAGGAGCUGCGAUGGAUGGGACUUCAAAUGGAAGUUGGUGCUGUGAAAGCUGUAUUCCUGGAACAGUGACAACCUCUGCCUCCUCUAAGAUCAUGGCCAGCUGAACCCACCACGUCACUGAGACUGGCAAUAAAAAAGGUUGGAUAUUAAGCAGAUACACC
rnacentral:lncRNA from 1 species